AGAAUGAUUGGUACAUUUUGACCAGCAGCACCAGCUUCACCUGAACACUUGUUAGAAGCACCAUUUCUGAGGUUUUACCCUCACCUUCUGAAUCAGAAACUCUCCAGCCUCAGGAAACCAUAAUUCUACUUUGUCUCUCUGAUUUUGACUACUCUAAAUACCUAAUUAGACAGCUCAAAGAUUGGAUCUAUGUUUGCAUCAUUUGCUGUGUGUAAACUCAGGAAAGUAUGGAUUUUCAUUACUUUAUUAGUAAGAAAUUUGCCUGCAGUCAACAGGAUGAGCUGUUCGACAGUUGCCUUGAUGGGUCACUCAUAAUAAUUACUUAGUGCUUGACAGUUACUAAAUAUUAUAGAGUCUAUUUAUUUUUAAUUAUUAUCAGGAAUGAGGUUAAUUGGCUUCGAAAUCACAAUAUUUUUAGGCUACAGAGUGGUGUGCAGGCAUUGUCAAAGUAACCAGAAUUUUACUAUCGUGUUAAAAGCAAAAGGUUCAGCUGGGUGCGGUGGCUAACACCUGUAAUCCCAGCACUUUGGUAGGCCAGGGCAAGUGGAUCACCUGAGGUCGGGUGUUCGAGACCAGCCUGGCCAACAUGGUGAAACCUCAUCUCUACAAAAAUACGAAAAAAAAAAUCAGCCGGGCAUGAUGGUGGAUGCCUGUAAUCCCAGCUACUCAGGAGGCUGAGGCAGGAGAAUUGACUGAACCCGGGAGUCGGAGGUUGGAGUGAGCUGAGAUCACGCCAUUGUACUCCAGCCUGGGCGACAGAGUGAGACUGGAUAAAUACCAUGAAGUUAUUUCAAAUCUACUUCCCUUGGGCAUUUUGAACUAAGCCAUGUUACGUUGUUAAGGUGCAUCAUGUCUAUGAGUCUAAUGAUCAAAUUCAGAGGUCAGCAACUUUUUCUGUGAAAACCAAAUCAUGACUACCUUAGGCUUUGAAGGUCAUAGAAUCUCUGAUUUUUGGUAUUUCUGUGGAGAGACAACCUCUUGGAGCUAUUUAUUCUGCUGUUUUUGCAGAAAUCAUCCAGUGGACAAGGUCCAAUUUUGAGUCACAUGGGCUCAGAGGAGAACCCCUAGAUGAUGGCUAACAAAGCAGUCCACAUCAAGCUCUUCUGCUGCAUACCAAUGAUUUUCUCCACAUAUACCAACCGAUAUGACAUGCCACAACUGAUUGAAUGAAGAAGCAGAUAGAAGAAUCUUGCUGUCUUCUAUUAAGCCAGCUAAAACAGAGAUUUUCAAAAAAUGUUUGAUCAAGGUAUUAUCUUCAAAUGUCACUUUCAUGGAAUGAUGUGGAGGUCCACAGGCCUGGAUCACAGGCUCUGCCAGUGGCUGUGAUGUUACCUGCUGUGGUCUUUCUCUCUUGCUUCAGAUGACAUCUAUGACACUGAUCCAUUCCAGCAAGCAUUUUAUUCUGGCACUCUUGAUAGCACAGAUAGAGGAGACUCAAAAGACUGACAGAAUACCCCAGGGUCUCUCUCCAGUAUAAAUGCUUCUAUGGUAACUGUCACACACAUCCAUGUGAAGAGACCACCAAACAGGCUAAUCAAGGCUUUCACUUCCACCAUGACAGCAUGAGGAGCUCCAUGGACAUACUUCCCAGUGAAACUAGUAGAAAUUAAAAAUAACAAAACAACAAAAACAAACAUUUUAAAGUCUCUGGAAAUGGUCUUAUGUGCCUGCAGCAAAUGAAGAAACAUCCAUACAAGAAAAUCAGCUAAAACUUGAUAGCACAGGAUUCUUUUUAGUUUUAGAAGUCUUUCAAAAUAAGAAGUCAAAUGAGGUAAGUAAGAUAUCCCAAAUAAUCUAUUAGAUAUAAUGACAAGCAUUGCACCUUGUCAACAAGCAAGUUAAGAAGACAUGAGCAAAGUUCUGGAAUUUCUUGAGAGAAAAAUUAAAAGUUCAAUAUCUGUACUGAAAAUAACCCCCACAUGAGAGUUUCAGGCAAACUUCUUAGCUUGAAAUUAACAUUUAUAAUAAGGAUCAGAAUAACAGUGGUUUGGGUUUUAAUGUUUCAAUCUAGAAAGAUUUGGCUGGGUGUGGUGGCUCAUGCCUAUAAUCCCAGCAUUUUGGGAGGUCGAGGCAGGAGAAUCACUUAGGUCAGGAGUUCAAGACCAGCCUGGCCAAUGUGGUGAAACCCCGUCUCUACUAAAAAUACAAAACAAGCUGGGCAUCACCAUGCCUGCAGUCCCAGCUACUUGGGGGGCUGAGGCACCAGAAUCACUUGAACCCAAGAGGUGGAGGUUGUAGUGAGCCAAGAUCAUGCCACUACACUCCAGCCUGGGUGACAGAGUGAGACUCUGUCUA